rnacentral:rRNA from 1 species
CCUACGGGAGGCAGCAGUGGGGAAUUUUGGACAAUGGGCGGCAAGCCUGAUCCAGCAAUGCCGCGUGAGUGAAGAAGGCCUUCGGGUUGUAAAGCUCUUUUGUCAGGGAAGAAACGGUCUUGGAUAAUACCUGGGGCUAAUGACGGUACCUGAAGAAUAAGCACCGGCUAACUACGUGCCAGCAGCCGCGGUAAUACGUAGGGUGCAAGCGUUAAUCGGAAUUACUGGGCGUAAAGCGUGCGCAGGCGGUUGUGUAAAGACAGGUGUGAAAUCCCCGGGCUUAACCUGGGAAUGGCAUUUGUGACUGCACGGCUAGAGUGUGUCAGAGGGGGGUAGAAUUCCACGUGUAGCAGUGAAAUGCGUAGAGAUGUGGAGGAAUACCGAUGGCGAAGGCAGCCCCCUGGGAUAACACUGACGCUCAUGCACGAAAGCGUGGGGAGCAAACAGGAUUAGAUACCCCUGGUAGUCCACGCCCUAAACGAUGUCUACUAGUUNUCCGGGUUNUUAAAUUGACUUAGGUAACNAGCUAACGCGNGAGAGACGCCGNGGAGGUACGGUAACGUCGAAGAAGUUAAACGUAACUUAAAGUUAAGUAAGUUAGAGGCGNGAGACGAGCGACGACGACGACGAGGAGGAGG